AUCCAGCUGACGAGUUCCAAAUAGGAUAAAAUGCGUGUCCUGGAA
rnacentral:hammerhead_ribozyme from 1 species